ACCCGAAAAUCAGCUGGCUGGCAGGAGGCAUGUGCGCAUGCACAAUGGAACUGAGCUGGGGCGAUGGCUUGCAUGCCCGCAGAGAUGGCACUGCAUACCACUUCCGGCAUGUGUGUCAUAGGUUCACCAUCACGGGUAUAAAAUCUCAUUUCAGC